GGGCGGUUAGCUCAGUUGGUUAGAGCGCAGCGUUGACAUCGCUGAGGUCGGAGGUUCGACUCCUCCAUCGCCCACCA
rnacentral:tRNA from 3 species